rnacentral:rRNA from 1 species
AUUGAACGCUGGCGGAAUGCUUUACACAUGCAAGUCGAGCGGCAGCACGGGGGCAACCCUGGUGGCGAGCGGCGAACGGGUGAGUAAUACAUCGGAACAUGCCCAGUCGUGGGGGAUAACACUUCGAAAGAAGUGCUAAUACCGCAUACGUCCUGAGGGAGAAAGCGGGGGAUCGCAAGACCUCGCGCGAUUGGAGUGGCCGAUGUCAGAUUAGCUAGUUGGUGGGGUAAAGGCCUACCAAGGCAACGAUCUGUAGCUGGUCUGAGAGGAUGAUCAGCCACACUGGGACUGAGACACGGCCCAGACUCCUACGGGAGGCAGCAGUGGGGAAUUUUGGACAGUGGGGGCAACCCUGAUCCAGCCAUUCCGCGUGAGUGAAGAAGGCCUUCGGGUUGUAAAGCUCUUUCGGCAGGAACGAAACGGCGAGCUCUAACAUAGCUUGCUAAUGACGGUACCUGAAGAAGAAGCACCGGCUAACUACGU